rnacentral:sRNA from 1 species
GCUGGGCAUGGUGGUGCAUGCCUGUAAUCCCAGUGGCUUGGGAGGCUGAGGUAGGAGGAUCUCAAGUUCAAAGCCAGCCUCAGCAAAAGCAAGGAUUUUGCUUCCUGCUGACCCUGUCUCUA